GACAUAUAUAAAUGAGUAACGACGAGAUGAAUACAAUAAUAAAGAGGAAAUGAAUGUUAUUAUUCUUCAAUGGAAAGGAGUUCAAUUAUAGAUGGAAUUAAUAUGGACUAAGGCAUGAGAAGGUGAUCAGGGUCUAGUGGUGGUUAUUGUUGUCAUUGUUGCGGCCUUGUUGAUUUCCAAUCCCAAAUCCAAACCCCAUUCCAAUCCCAAACCCCAUGCCCAUUCCAACACCACCUUCGUUUUCACCAACUCCGAACCCGCUACCUUCUCCAUGUCCAUAUCCUUCACCAUUACCACCUCCACCUCCGCCGCCACCUCCGCCACCUCCUCCUCCUCAUCCGCCGCCGCUCGCCUCCUGCUCCGCCCCUUCCCCUUCUCCAUACCCCACUCCAAAACCACUACCGUGACCUUCUCCUUCACCACCAAGAUUAGCACUUCUGCCUCCACCUCCGCCUCCGCCUCCGCCUCCGCCUCCACCCUUAUCGCCCAUUCCAGCUCCGGCUCCGAAACCUUCCCCGUGCCCAUUUUCGCCACCUCCUCCACCUCCACCUCCACCGCCACCGCCACCACCGCCGUUGUCACUUAUACCAACUCCAGCUCCCGAACCUUCCCCAUGUCCAUAUCCCCCAUUGUCAGCAUCACCACCUCCUCCUCUUUGGCCGCCACCAGCUCCGUUAUAUCCAAAGAAGCUCCCACAACUUCGCCAGUUUUGAUAGCAAUUUUCUUCAUUUGGCCAAUUGCCCGGUUCACCGCUACAGAGGAGAGUAGCUGAGACUAAAAUAAGCAUAAGAAGAAGAGUCUUAUUUUUGCUGCUAGAAAGUCCCAUACUAAACUAUAUAAUUGCAAGUUAAUAAUGUAUGUAGUACGUUUUAGAGGCUUUUGGGGGACGGGAAUACCAAACUAGACGUACUACUGAUCAUGAAUGGGAUGGGAGUAUAUAUUAUCUAAUCGUCUCUUAUUUAUAUACCCAUGAAGCACUACUCCAUUCACCUAUGACCUACCUCUACCAGGC
rnacentral:lncRNA from 1 species